GGCCGGAUAAGGCGUUCACGCCGCAUCCGGCAUUUGAGCAUAGUGCCUGAUGCGUCUUAUCAGGCC
rnacentral:ncRNA from 1 species